CCUACGGGGGGCAGCAGUGGGGGAUAUUGCACAAUGGGGGGAACCCUGAUGCAGCGACGCCGCGUGAGUGAAGAAGUAAUUCGUUAUGUAAAGCUCUAUCAGCAGGGAAGAAUAAAUGACGGUACCUGAGUAAGAAGCCCCGGCUAACUACGUGCCAGCAGCCGCGGUAAUACGUAGGGGGCAAGCGUUAUCCGGAUUUACUGGGUGUAAAGGGAGCGUAGACGGCGAUGCAAGCCAGAUGUGAAAGCCCGCGGCUCAACUGCGGUAGUGCAUUUGGAACUGUAUGGCUGGAGUGCAGGAGAGGG
rnacentral:rRNA from 1 species